GAUGAACGCUGGCGGCGUGCCUAAUACAUGCAAGUCGAGCGAACAGACGAGGAGCUUGCUCCUCUGACGUUAGCGGCGGACGGGUGAGUAACACGUGGAUAACCUACCUAUAAGACUGGGAUAACUUCGGGAAACCGGAGCUAAUACCGGAUAACAUGUUGAACCGCAUGGUUUAACAGUGAAAGACGGUCUCGCUGUCACUUAUAGAUGGAUCCGCGCCGCAUUAGCUAGUUGGUAAGGUAACGGCUUACCAAGGCAACGAUGCGUAGCCGACCUGAGAGGGUGAUCGGCCACACUGGAACUGAGACACGGUCCAGACUCCUACGGGAGGCAGCAGUAGGGAAUCUUCCGCAAUGGGCGAAAGCCUGACGGAGCAACGCCGCGUGAGUGAAGAAGGCCUUCGGAUCGUAAAACUCUGUUAUUAGGGAAGAACAAAUGUGUAAGUAACUAUGCACGUCUUGACGGUACCUAAUCAGAAAGCCACGGCUAACUACGUG
rnacentral:rRNA from 1 species